CCUACGGGGGGCUGCAGUGGGGGAUAUUGCACAAUGGAGGAAACUCUGAUGCAGCAACGCCGCGUGAGGGAAGAAGGUCUUCGGAUUGUAAACCUCUGUCCUCAGGGACGAUAAUGACGGUACCUGAGGAGGAAGCUCCGGCUAACUACGUGCCAGCAGCCGCGGUAAUACGUAGGGAGCAAGCGUUGUCCGGAUUUACUGGGUGUAAAGGGUGCGUAGGCGGCCCUGCAAGUCAGGUGUGAAAACUAGGGGCUAAACUCAUAGAUGGCACUUGAAACGUGGGGGCUGAGGGGAAGAAGGGGAAGCCGAAUUCCCCGGUUUGGGGGUGAAUGGCGAAGGAUUGGGAAAGAAAACCAGUGGCGAGGGCGGCCUGCGGGCUUUAACUGACGCUGAGGCACGAAAGCGUGGGUAGCAAACAGGAUUAGAUACCCCUGUAGUC
rnacentral:rRNA from 1 species